UACGUAGGUGGCGAGCGUUAUCCGGAAUGAUUGGGCGUAAAGGGUGCGUAGGCGGCCCUGCUAAGUCUGGAGUGAAAGGUACCGGCUCAACCGGUACAGGCUCUGGAAACUGGCGGGCUAGAGAGCAGGAGAGGGCGGUGGAACUCCAUGUGUAGCGGUAAAAUGCGUAGAUAUAAUGGAAGAACACCAGUGGGCGAAGGCGGC
rnacentral:rRNA from 1 species